rnacentral:rRNA from 1 species
AUUGAACGCUGGCGGCAUGCCUUACACAUGCAAGUCGAACGGUAACGGGCCUUCGGGUGCCGACGAGUGGCGAACGGGUGAGUAAUACAUCGGAACGUGCCCGAUCGUGGGGGAUAACGAGGCGAAAGCUUUGCUAAUACCGCCUACGAUCUAAGGAUGAAAGCAGGGGACCGCAAGGCCUUGCGCGGACGGAGCGGCCGAUGGCAGAUUAGGUAGUUGGUGGGAUAAAAGCUUACCAAGCCGACGAUCUGUAGCUGGUCUGAGAGGAUGAUCAGCCACACUGGGACUGAGACACGGCCCAGACUCCUACGGGAGGCAGCAGUGGGGAAUUUUGGACAAUGGGCGCAAGCCUGAUCCAGCCAUGCCGCGUGCAGGAUGAAGGCCUUCGGGUUGUAAACUGCUUUUGUACGGAACGAAAAGCCUUCUUUUAAUACAGGAGGGUCAUGACGGUACCGUAAGAAUAAGCACCGGCUAACUACGUG